rnacentral:rRNA from 1 species
AUUGAACGCUGGCGGCAGGCCUAACACAUGCAAGUCGAGCGAGCGGCGGACGGGUGAGUUAUGUCUGGGACACUGCCUGAGGGAGGGGGAUAGCUACUGGACACGGUAGCUAAUACCGCAUACCAUCAGAUGUGCCCAGAUGGGAGUAGCUAGUAGGUGGGGUAAUGGCACACCUAGGCGACGAUCCCGAGCGGGUCUGAGAGGAUGACCAGCAACACUGGAACUGAGACAAGGUCCAGACUCCUACGGGAGGCAGCAGUGGGGAAUAUUGCACAAUGGGCGCAAGCCUGAUGCAGCCAUGCCGCGUGUGUGAAGAAGGCCUUCGGGUUGUAAAGCACUUUCAGCGAGGAGGCGUUACUCGCAGAAGAAGCACCGGCUAACUCCGUGCCAGCAGCCGCGGUAAUAC